rnacentral:rRNA from 1 species
GACGAAGGAUCCAAGCGUUAUCCGGAUUCAUUGGGUUUAAAGGGUGCGUAGGCGGCCCGGUAAGUCAGUGGUGAAAUCUCCUUGCUUAACAAGGAAACUGCCAUUGAUACUGCUGGGCUUGAGUACAGAUGCUGUGGGCGGAAUAUGACAUGUAGUGGUGAAAUACAUAGAGAUGUCAUAGAACACCGAUUGCGAAGGCAGCUCACAAAACUGUAACUGACGCUGAGGCACGAAGUGCGGGGAGUCAAACAGG